AUUGAACGCUGGCGGCAGGCCUAACACAUGCAAGUCGAGCGGAUGAAGGGAGCUUGCUCCUGGAUUCAGCGGCGGACGGGUGAGUAAUGCCUAGGAAUCUGCCUGGUAGUGGGGGAUAACGUCCGGAACGGGGGCUACUUACGCAAACGGCCUGGGGGAGGAAGGGGGGGAUCCUUGGGCCCCACGCUAUCAGAUGAGCCUAGGUCGGAUUAGCUAGUUGGUGGGGUAAAGGCCUACCAAGGCGACGAUCCGUAACUGGUCUGAGAGGAUGAUCAGUCACACUGGAACUGAGACACGGUCCAGACUCCUACGGGAGGCAGCAGUGGGGAAUAUUGGACAAUGGGCGAAAGCCUGAUCCAGCCAUGCCGCGUGUGUGAAGAAGGUCUUCGGAUUGUAAAGCACUUUAAGUUGGGAGGAAGGGCAGUAAGUUAAUACCUUGCUGUUUUGACGUUACCAACAGAAUAAGCACCGGCUAACUUCGUG
rnacentral:rRNA from 1 species